ACGGAAGGCAGCAGUGAGGAAUAUUGGUCAAUGGGCGAGAGCCUGAACUAGCCAUCUCGCGUGAAGGAAUACGGCCCUACGGGUCUUAAACUUCUUUUAUAGGGGGAUAAAGUGAGGCAUGCAUGCCUUUUUGUAGGUACCCUAUGAAUAAGCAUCGGCUAACUCCGUGCCAGCAGCCGCGGUAAUACGGAGGAUGCGAGCGUUAUCCGGAUUUAUUGGGUUUAAAGGGUGCGCAGGCGGCACGUUAAGUCAGCGGUGAAAUGCAGGGGCUCAACCCCGGCACUGCCGUUGAAACUGGCGAGCUCGAGUACGGAUGAAGUCGGCGGAAUGUGAUGUGUAGCGGUGAAAUGCUUAGAUAUGUCACAGAACACCGAUUGCGAAGGCAGCUGACUAAUCCGCAACUGACGCUCAGGCACGAAAGCGUGGGGAUCGAACAGGAUUAGAUACCCUGGUA
rnacentral:rRNA from 1 species